GAAAACGGUCCGAGAAUUGCGAAUGAGGAGCGGUUUGGCGCAGCUCUAAAAUAAGGAAAAGGAAAUAAUAAAGGAAUAAAUAAAAAAAUAACAAUAAAGGAAAUAAGCAAAAUAAAUUGCAUUUGGCAACUGUACAGGCAGCCGAACUGAAAAACGCACACAAGGAAUUAAACGCAGAUUACGGCCAAUUGAAGA